rnacentral:lncRNA from 1 species
CUCCGGGUAUAUUGUUAUGCAAUCUGUAACUUUACUACAAUGGUUCUUUUAUGGUUGCCAUGGUAAGGGUUGUUUUGUUUUAAGGGGACAAUAAUUUGAUGGGUUUUUUUUUUUUUUUGGGGGGGGGGAGUUGACGAAUAGAUCUAAUCAUUUUGAUCUGUUGCUACGCAAGUUUAUAUUUUACUACAGCAAAGCUUCAUUUUUACUUUUUUAUACGCCCGUCAAAAUUUUGACGGGACGUAUUAUGUUAUACAAAUGUCCGGUGUCCGUCCGUCUGUCCGUCUGUCCGGCGUAAACAUGUCGCGCCGUAACUUGAGAACGACUUAUCCAAAUUUCACGAAACUUAUUGUAGUUGUUUCUUAUGAUAGUCAAAUGAUCUGUAUACUUUUCGGUCAAAAUAAGAUUAAAACUUUUUGAGUUACGGCACUUUGUAACUAAAAUAGGGGUGUUUUUUU